CUGACAACUUCUCUGCACUACCAUGAAGUAAUUAGCUGUCAACAAACUAAAGCAGCUGCAUUUCGACAACUAUUUCCUCACUUAAAGGGCAACAUGCAUAGAUAACAGACUUGAGAUUUAACGGAGAGAUGUUACAGAUUUUUUGAACAGUUGUUUUGGACCGAAGAAGAAUUACCAGGAGUUGUAUUGUUGACUUACUAGCUCAGUAGCUAACGUUAGCUAAGUUAGCUCGAUAGCUUAUUGAAUUGAACUGGUUCAGCCAGUUUAGCUCCUAUUUAUUUUAUUUUUAUUUUUCUCUAAGGUAGCAGUCACCGAAACAGUCGUUUGGACAGUUUGGUGCCUCCUUAAGUUCCUGCCAUGGCUGACAGCAGCAUAGUGACUUUAGGGACGGCUCGAAGUCUGCUGGUGGAUUCUUCGGUCUAUGAUUCAAGGAUCGCCGAAACCACGAAGGACCAUGUAUUUCUGGGCAUGGCAUGUGAAGAUGGGGAAGAUAUGCUGCCAAAAGUGGAGACGAGGGUUGUUCUGGUGGGAGAAGCGGGCAGAAAUGGAGCGCUGGUCAAAGCACUGCAGGUACAUCA